GCUAACCUCGGACGCCUGCUGCCGCCGCCCUCUCUCCGGUGGUGGUGCAGCCCUGGUGCGGCUGGCGAGAGGCCCGCCGAGGCUCCCAGGCGCCCCCGCUCUCCACACCUGGAUGCAAUUCCUGGAAGAGCUGAACUGCCAAGCCCACCUGGCCCUCCACUUGGCUGGGGACGGGCACGGCCCCGCAGGUCUCUGCGUCUGUUACCUGGGCCCCUACGUCUCCCGCGCUCUGCCACUGGCACUGGCACCCUCGAGUCGCCCUGACUGAGAGUCUUUGGGUCCCAUUUGACGCGGACUCUUCCUAAUGGAAGGGACCCUGAACUUGUGCGGACAGUCACACAUUCACUCUACGGAUAAGGACACUGGCUCAGAGAUGGUGAAGUGACUAAGGAGGGGUAGAGUCAAACAGCCAGGAAGGCCAGGAACAUGGACUAGAACUUGGGUGUCUCAUCUCCGUGGAUCCAUGAUGCUGGAAAAUAACAUUUAUUGAGCUCUGUUCAUGUUCCCACACGGAUCCAGACACUAUAUUACUAUCUUCAGUUGGAACAACCCUAAGAAUAGAUUGGCCUGUGAUGUGUAUACUCUGCUACCCUAGAAGAAGAAUCUAGGUCUGACUUGAAAACAGAAGUGGAGAAGGAGUGUGCUCCAUGUGGGCCUGCAAGUCCUAGGAGAGAAGAGACUGGACUGUGGUUUGGCAGACACUUCAUCACAUCUCACCAACUGAGUUAUGAGUUCGGUGAGGGGAGAAAGAGACCAGAAGUAUUCUUCUGGUAGAGUUUUAUCUUGGAGAAUGGAGCAGAAUCCUUCCUCUCCAUGAAAACUUAAAACUUAAAGAAUGAGAUAUCCACUUUUCUUCCCAUACCAUCCAUGUUUCUGGUGAAGCUUAAGAAGUGGCCCUAAUUUGUCAAAACGUAAUUAUCAGCUCUCUUGUCACAGAUGGGUGAAGCUAAAGCCUAUCAAUGCAUAACAAUUUCCUAGCCGUAGAAUUUGGUUCUGGUAUAUGUACUGCCGAAGUGAGCACAAGAAUUUGGUUCUGGAAAGGUCAUGUAACCCAGUGGAAGGCAAGUGGAUUCCGGGGGACUUCUGGGAAAUGUCCUAAAUUUUAAGAUGGUCCCUUUUAGAGGUAAAGGAUCUAUACCCUAAAAACUACAGAACACUUCUGAAAGAAAUUGAGGAAGACACAAAGAGAUGGGAAACUAUUCCAUGCUCAUGGAUUGGAAGAAUUAAUAUUGUGAAAAUGUCAAUGUUACCCAGGGCAACUUAUAUGUUUAAUGCAAUCCCUAUCAAAAUACCAUGGACUUUCUUCAGAGAGUUAGGACAAAUCAUCUUAAGAUUUGUGUGGAAUCAGAAAAGACCCUGAAUAGCCAGGGGAAUUUUAAAAAAGAAAACCAUAGCUGGGGGCAUCACAAUGCCAGAUUUCACGUUGUACUACAAAGCGGUGGUCAUCAAGACAGUGUAGUACUGGCACAAAAACAGACACAGAUCAAUGGAACAGAAUAGAGAAUCCAGAAGUGGACCCUCAACUUUAUGGUCAACUAAUAUUUGACAAAGGAGGAAAGACUAUCCACUGGAAAAAAGACAAGUCCCUUCAAUAAGUGGUGCUGGGAAAAUUGGACAUCCACAUGCAGAAGAAUGAAACUAGACCACUCUCUUGCACCAUACACAAAGAUAAACUCAAAAUGGAUGAAAGAUCUUAAUGUGAGACAAGAUUCCAUCAAAAUCCUAGAGGAGAACACAGGCAACACCCUUUUUGAACUUGGCCACAGUAACUUCUUGCAAGAUAUGUCCACGAAGGCAAAAGCAACAAAAGCAAAAAUGAACUACUGGGACUUCAUCAAGAUAAGAAGCUUUUGCACAGCAAAGGAUACAGUCAACAAAACUCAAAGACAACCUACAGAAUGGGAGAAGAUAUUUGCAAAUGACGUAUCAGAUAAAGGGCUAGCUUCCAAGAUCUAUAAAGAACUUAUUAAACUCAACACCAAAGAAACAAACAAUCCAAUCAUGAAAUGGGCAAAAGACAUGAACAGAAAUUUCACAGAGGAAGACACAGACAUGGCCAACAGGGACAUGAGAAAAUGCUCCGCAUCACUUGCCAUCAGGGAAAUACAAAUCAAAACCACAAUGAGAUACCACCUCACACCAGUGAGAAUGGGGAAAAUUAACAAGGCAGGAAACCACAAAUGUUGGAGAGGAUGCGGAGAAAAGGGAACCCUCUUACACUGUUGGUGGGAAUGUGAACUAGUGCAGCCACUCUGGAAAUCUGUGUGGAGGUUCCUCAGAGUUAAAAAUAGAACUGCUCUAAGACCCAGCCAUUGCACUGCUGGGGAUUUACCCCAAAGAUUCAGAUGCAAUGAAACGCCAGGACACCUGCACCCUGACGUUUCUAGCAGCAAUGUCCACAAUAGCCAAACUGCGGAAGGAGCCUCGGUGUCCAUCGAAAGAUGAAUGGAUAAAGAAGGUGUGGUUUAUGUAUACAAGGGAAUAUUACUCAGCCAUUAGAAACGACAAAUACCCACCAUUUGCUUCAACGUGGAUGGAACUGGAGGGUAUUAUGCUGAGUGAAGUAAGUCAAUCGGAGAAGGACAAACAUUAUAUAGUCUCAUUCAUUUGGGGAAUAUAAAAAAAAUAGUGAAAGGAAAUAAAGGGGAAAGGAGAAAAAAUGAGUGGGAAAUAUCAGAAAGGGAGACAGAACAUGAGAGACUCCUAACUCUGGGAAAUGAA